rnacentral:rRNA from 1 species
GAUGAACGCUGGCGGCGUGCCUAAUACAUGCAAGUCGAGCGAACAGACGAGGAGCUUGCUCCUCUGACGUUAGCGGCGGACGGGUGAGUAACACGUGGAUAACCUACCUAUAAGACUGGGAUAACUUCGGGAAACCGGAGCUAAUACCGGAUAAUAUAUUGAACCGCAUGGUUCAAUAGUGAAAGACGGUUUUGCUGUCACUUAUAGAUGGAUCCGCGCCGCAUUAGCUAGUUGGUAAGGUAACGGCUUACCAAGGCAACGAUGCGUAGCCGACCUGAGAGGGUGAUCGGCCACACUGGAACUGAGACACGGUCCAGACUCCUACGGGAGGCAGCAGUAGGGAAUCUUCGGCAAUGGGCGAAAGCUUGACGGAGCAACGCCGCGGGAGUGAUGAAGGUCUUCGGAUCGUAAAACUCUGUUAUUAGGGAAGAACAAAUGUGUAAGUAACUGUGCACGUCUUGACGGUACCUAAUCAGAAAGCCACGGCUAACUACGUG